rnacentral:rRNA from 1 species
GACGAAGGUGGCGAGCGUUGUUCGGAAUCACUGGGCAUAAGCGCACGUAGGCGGUGACGUAAGUCGGGUGUGAAAUCCCUCGGCCUAACCGAGGAACUGCGCCCGAUACUGCGUUGCUUGAGGACCAGAGGGGUGCAUGGAAUUUCCGGUGGAGCGGUGAAAUGCGUUGAUAUCGGAAGGAACUCCGGCGGCGAAAGCGAUGCACUGGCUGGUUUCUGACGCUGAGGUGCGAAAGCCAGGGGAGCAAACGGG